GGGAUCGUAGUUCAAUUGGUUAGAGCGCCGGCCUGUCACGCCGGAGGUUGCGGGUUCGAGCCCCGUCGAUCCCG
rnacentral:tRNA from 1 species